AACGAACGUUGCGGCGCGCCUAAUACAUGCAAGUCGUGCGAGAAAGGGCUUCGGCCCCAGUACAGCGGCGCACGGUGAGUAACACGUAGGUAAUUCUCCCCUUGAGUGGUGGAUAACCCUCCGAAAGGAGGGCUAAUACAGCAUAAGACCACGACCAGGCUCUGGUGGCGGUCAAAGCAGGCCUCUAUACAUAAGCUUGCGCUCGAGGAUGAGCCUGCGGGCCCAUCAGCUAGUUGGGUAAGGUACACGGCUUACCAAGGCGAUGAAUCCGUAACCGCCUGAGAGGGCAGUCGGUCACACUGACACUGACAUACGGGUCAGACUCCUACGGGAGGCAGCAGUCGGGAAUUUUGGGCAAUGGGGCGAAAGCCUGACCCAGCAACGCCGCGUGAAGGAUGAAAUCCCUCGGGAUGUAAACUUCGCAAGAACGGGGAAGAAUAAGUUGGUGUGAAUAUCACCAGCGAUGACGGUACCGUUUGUAAGCUCCGGCUAACUCCGUGCCAGCGGCCGCGGUAAUACGGGGGAGCAAGCGUUGUUCGGGAUUUACUGGGCGUAAAGGGCGGGUAGGCGGCCACCGCAAGUCAGUUGUGAAAUCUCCGGGCUUAACCCGGAAAGGUCAACUGAGUACUGCGGGGCUAGAGUGCAGAAGGGGCAACUGGAAUUCUCGGUGUAGCGGUGAAUGCGUAGAUAUAGAGGAACACCUGCGGCGAAGGCGGUUGCUGGGCUGACACUGACGCUGACUGCGAAAGCUGGGGGAGCGAACGGGAUGAUACCCCGGUAGUCUGGCCCUAAACGAUGGACACUUGGUGUGUCGGGUAUUCCAGUCCCGAUGUGCCGGAGCUAACGCGUUAAGUGUCCCCGCCUGGGGAGUACGGUCGCAAGGCUGAACUCAAAGGAAUUGACGGGGAACCCGCACAAGCGGUGGAGCAUGUGGUUUAAUUCGACGCAACGCGAGAACCUUACCUGGGUUAAUCCCAGUUGCAAAGUGCAGAGAUGCAUUCCCCUCGCAAUGAGGCGGCCUGGGAAGGUGCUGCAUGGCUGUCGUCAGCUCGUGUCGUGAGAUGUUAGGGUUAAGUCCCGCAACGAGCGCAACCCUUACCACUAGUUGCCAGCAUUAAGUUGGGCACUCUAGCGGAACUGCCGGUGAUAAACCGGAGGAAGGUGGGAUGACGUCAAGUCAUCAUGGCCUCUAUGUCCAGGGCUACACACGUGCUACAAUGGCCGGUACAAAACCGUCGCGAACUCCGCGAGAGGGAGCCAAUCGGAAAAAGCCGGUCUCAGUUCGGAUUGAGUUCUGCAACUCGACUCCAUGAAGUUGGAAUCGCUAGUAAUCGCAGAUCAGCACGCUGCGGUGAAAUACGUUCCCGGGUCUUGUACACACCGCCCGUCAACAUCACGAAAGCGGGCUGUAACUAAAAAGAAGUGGCUGCGCUAAACUACGCAAAAGGGAGGCAGGUCACGAACGGUAAAAUGGUUCGUGAUUGGGGUG
rnacentral:rRNA from 1 species